rfam:Blautia sp. CAG:237 genomic scaffold, scf56
UGAUACCAGGGUUUCAAACGAAUAUGACUUUCAUGCUUGCAUGAAAGGGCAUAUCCAUUUGAAACCCGCCAAAUAUGAGGAAGUAGUGAUUUACGCAGUAAAUCUACGGAUUCCGAAUAUUUGCAGAAUCGCGGAAGAUGCAGAGCAUCGGAGUGAUUCGUAAGUAUCU